AGCGAACGCUGGCGGCAGGCCUAACACAUGCAAGUCGAACGAUCCUUCGGGAUAGUGGCGGACGGGUGAGUAACACGUGGGAACGUGCCCUUUGGUUCGGAACAACUCAGGGAAACUUGAGCUAAUACCGAAUGUGCCCUUCGGGGGAAAGAUUUAUCGCCAUUGGAGCGGCCCGCGUCUGAUUAGCUAGUUGGUGAGGUAAUGGCUCACCAAGGCGACGAUCAGUAGCUGGUCUGAGAGGAUGAUCAGCCACACUGGGACUGAGACACGGCCCAGACUCCUACGGGAGGCAGCAGUGGGGAAUCUUGCGCAAUGGGCGAAAGCCUGACGCAGCCAUGCCGCGUGAAUGAUGAAGGUCUUAGGAUUGUAAAAUUCUUUCACCGGGGACGAUAAUGACGGUACCCGGAGAAGAAGCCUCGGCUAACUUCGUGCCAGCCGCCGCCGUAAAAC
rnacentral:rRNA from 1 species